AUUACUUCUCAGCCUUUUGGCUAAGACCAACUGUAGUAUCUGUUCUUUUCAGUUUAAUAUCUGAUGUGAUCUCUAGAGAACUAUAUCUUAAAUGGGUCCUGUGAUAGCAACAUCAGCCCUU
ensembl:snRNA U2 U2 spliceosomal RNA